rnacentral:rRNA from 1 species
GACGAACGCUGGCGGCGUGCUUAACACAUGCAAGUCGAACGCUGAAGCUUGGUGCUUGCACUGGGUGGAUGAGUGGCGAACGGGUGAGUAAUAAGUGAGUAACCUGCCUUUGACUCUGGGAUAAGCCUGGGAAACUGGGUCUAAUACUGGAUACGAUAUGUCACCGCAUGGUGGUGUGUGGAAAGGGUUUUAUUGGUUUUGGAUGGGCUCACGGCCUAUCAGCUUGUUGGUGGGGUAAUGGCUCACCAAGGCGACGACGGGUAGCCGGCCUGAGAGGGUGACCGGCCACACGGGGACUGAGACACGGCCCAGACUCCUACGGGAGGCAGCAGUGGGGAAUAUUGCACAAUGGGCGGAAGCCUGAUGCAGCGACGCCGCGUGAGGGAUGACGGCCUUCGGGUUGUAAACCACUUUCAGCACGGAAGAAGCGAAAGUGACGGUACGUGCAGAAGAAGCGCCGGCUAACUACGUG